rnacentral:rRNA from 1 species
GAUGAACGCUGGCGGCGUGCCUAACACAUGCAAGUCGAGCGAGGGUUUGCUCAGUAUUGAAUAUUCUAAGUCUAGAAUGUUCAAUACUGAGCAAAACCAAGCGGCGGACGGGUGAGUAACGCGUGGGUAACCUGCCCUAUACACAUGGAUAACAUACUGAAAAGUUUACUAAUACAUGAUAAUAUAUAUUUGUGGCAUCGCAGAUAUAUCAAAGUGUUAGCGGUAUAGGAUGGACCCGCGUCUGAUUAGCUAGUUGGUGAGAUAACUGCCCACCAAGGCGACGAUCAGUAGCCGACCUGAGAGGGUGAUCGGCCACAUUGGAACUGAGACACGGUCCAAACUCCUACGGGAGGCAGCAGUGGGGAAUAUUGCACAAUGGGCGAAAGCCUGAUGCAGCAACGCCGCGUGAACGAUGAAGGUCUUCGGAUCGUAAAGUUCUGUUGCAGGGGAAGAUAAUGACGGUACCCUGUGAGGAAGCCCCGGCUAACUACGUGCCAGCAGCCGCGGUAAUACGUAGGGGGCUAGCGUUAUCCGGAUUUACUGGGCGUAAAGGGUGCGUAGGUGGUCCUUCAAGUCGGUGGUUAAAGGCUACGGCUCAACCGUAGUAAGCCGCCGAAACUGGAGGACUUGAGUGCAGGAGAGGAAAGUGGAAUUCCCAGUGUAGCGGUGAAAUGCGUAGAUAUUGGGAGGAACACCAGUAGCGAAGGCGGCUUUCUGGACUGCAACUGACACUGAGGCACGAAAGCGUGGGUAGCAAACAGG